rnacentral:rRNA from 1 species
AGCGGUGGAUGAUGUGGAUUAAUUCGAUGCAACGCGAAAAACCUUACCUACCCUUGACAUGUCCAGAAGCUCUUAGAGAUUUGAGUGUGCCCGAAAGGGAGCUGGAACACAGGUGCUGCAUGGCUGUCGUCAGCUCGUGUCGUGAGAUGUUGGGUUAAGUCCCGCAACGAGCGCAACCCUUGUCGUUAAUUGCCAUCAUUUAGUUGGGCACUUUUAACGAGACUGCCGGUGACAAACCGGAGGAAGGUGGGGAUGACGUCAAGUCCUCAUGGCCCUUAUGGGUAGGGCUUCACACGUCAUACAAUGGUCGGUACAGAGGGUUGCCAAGCCGCGAGGUGGAGCCAAUCCCAGAAAGCCGAUCGUAGUCCGGAUUGCAGGCUGCAACUCGCCUGCAUGAAGUCGGAAUCGCUAGUAAUCGCGGAUCAGCAUGUCGCGGUGAAUACGUU